rnacentral:rRNA from 1 species
UACGGAGGGGGCUAGCGUUGUUCGGAAUUACUGGGCGUAAAGCGCACGUAGGCGGAUUGUUAAGUCGGGGGUGAAAUCCCGGGGCUCAACCCCGGAACUGCCUUUGAUACUGGCAAUCUAGAGUCCGGAAGAGGUGAGUGGAAUUCCGAGUGUAGAGGUGAAAUUCGUAGAUAUUCGGAGGAACACCAGUGGCGAAGGCGGCUCACUGGUCCGGAACUGACGCUGAGGUGCGAAAGCGUGGGGAGCAAACAGG